rnacentral:rRNA from 1 species
UACGUAGGGCGCAAGCGUUGUCCGGAAUCAUUGGGCGUAAAGAGCUCGUAGGUGGUCUGUUACGUCUGCUGUGAAAUCCUAGGGCUUAACCCUGGGCCUGCAGUGGAUACGGGCAGACUAGAGGUAUGCAGGGGAGAACGGAAUUCCUGGUGUAGCGGUGAAAUGCGCAGAUAUCAGGAGGAACACCGGUGGCGAAGGCGGUUCUCUGGGCAUGUCCUGACGCUGAGGAGCGAAAGUGUGGGGAGCGAACAGG